rnacentral:rRNA from 1 species
CCUACGGGGGGCUGCAGUGGGGAAUUUUCCGCAAUGGGNGAAAGCCUGACGGAGCAAGACCGCGUGGGGGAGGAAGGUUCUUGGAUUGUCAACCCCUUUUCUCAGGGAAGAACAAAAUGACGGUACCUGAGGAAUCAGCAUCGGCUAACUCCGUGCCAGCAGCCGCGGUAAUACGGAGGAUGCAAGCGUUAUCCGGAAUGAUUGGGCGUAAAGAGUCCGUAGGUGGCUUAUCAAGUCGAUUGUCAAAGCACGAGGCUUAACUUCGUUCAGGCCGU